GUUGUAGCUCAGUGGUAGAGCACUUGUCUCACAUGUGUGAGGCACUGGGUUUGAUCCUCAGCAUCACA
rnacentral:tRNA from 1 species